rnacentral:tRNA from 3 species
GGUUGUUUGGCCGAGCGGUCUAAGGCGCCUGAUUCAAGAUCUCAGGUAUCGUAAGAUGCAAGAGUUCGAAUCUCUUAGCAACCA